GAGGUAACAGCGGUGACACGCCCCCAGGACGAAGCCUUCUCGCAGGAUCAACCCAACUCCGGUGAGCGAAGAGCGGUCACUCUCCAAGCCCAAGACCUGCUUCACCUCACCCCCAAUCAGCUGUGUCCCCAGUUCCCAACCCUCAGUCCUGGACACUAGCCCUUGGGGCCUUGGCCUUCCCCCAGGGUGCAGAAGUCUGCAAGAGGAGCGAGAGAUGCUCAGGAAGGAGCGCUCUAAGCAGCUGCAGCAGUCACCUACCCCCACCUGUCCCACCCCAGAAUUGGGGUCGCCCCUCCCCAGACGGACAGGAAGCCUCACAGAUGAACCUGCGGACCCUGCCAGAGUGUCUUCCCGCCAGCGCCUGGAGCUUGUAGCCCUUGUUUACUCCUCGUGCAUUGCUGAGAACCUGGUACCAAACCUCUUCUUGGAGCUUUUCUUCGUCUUUCAGCUCCUCACUGCCCGGAGGAUGGUGACUGCCAAGGACAGUGACCCUGAACUAAGUCCAGCUGUCCUAGGUCAGUGAGCAAGCCUCCUUUUGAGACAUGGGGUCUAGAAACGGGACCGUUCUUAACUGACAGCUUGGUAC
rnacentral:lncRNA from 1 species